rnacentral:rRNA from 1 species
GACGAACGCUGGCGGCGUGCUUAACACAUGCAAGUCGAACGGAAAGGCCCUGCUUUUGUGGGGUGCUCGAGUGGCGAACGGGUGAGUAACACGUGAGUAACCUGCCCUUGACUUUGGGAUAACUUCAGGAAACUGGGGCUAAUACCGGAUAGGAGCUCCUGCUGCAUGGUGGGGGUUGGAAAGUUUCGGCGGUUGGGGAUGGACUCGCGGCUUAUCAGCUUGUUGGUGGGGUAGUGGCUUACCAAGGCUUUGACGGGUAGCCGGCCUGAGAGGGUGACCGGCCACAAUGGGACUGAGGUACGGCCCAGACUCCUACGGGAGGCAGCAGUGGGGAAUAUUGCACAAUGGGCGGAAGCCUGAUGCAGCAACGCCGCGUGCGGGAAGACGGCCUUCGGGUUGUAAACCGCUUUCGCCUGUGACGAAGCGUGAGUGACGGUAAUGGGUAAAGAAGCACCGGCUAACUACGUG